AGGUGGCAUGUAUAGAAGGCAGGAGUAUAGUUUGAAAGUGAUAAUGCUCUAAGAAUGGAGUGAUCAUGGCCUGAAGAGUUAAGAGAAGAUGGGAUUGGAAGAUACUGUUUUACAUUUAUCCUGUAAAAUUCUGAAGAGUGAAUUUUUCAUGGCCAGAAGAAUUAGUUCUCUUAAGAAUAAAUCUACUCCUUAUGACCAAAAAGAGGGCCCCCUACCAUUGUGCCUUUGUCUACUACCGAUGCUUUCGACUCUCUCCCAUAAUGUGGACUUUCAGAUUUACAUUCCCAGUCGUGACAUCACCUACCCACUGCCAAACGAGUAUUCCCACCUGGUGGUGCCGGGGUGAAGUCGAAUGGAAUAUAUCUUUCAGGUGCUGCCACCAACCCAUCUGCAGAACGCAAGCGGGAAACAUGGACACUAUCACUGGAAAUGCGCCCAUUCUCAUUGAAUCUCUUCUCCAACCCUCAGUGUCCAACCAAUCACCAACUUAUUUAGAUUCUAACCCCUAAAGUUCUCUCCAUCCACUUCCGCCCUUCUCCUCUACUACCCCUGCUUCAGUUCAGGGCCUCAGCUCUCUCCUGAGCUGUUGCAUUCAAUCUCCCGUGGCCCUUCUGACUCCAGUCUGGCCCUGCCUCCACAGUGUUGCCAAAAGUGUCUCUAAAAGGCAAAUCCCAUCAUGUUACUCCUCUGCAGAAAGUGCUUAAUGGUUCCCUAUGACUUUUUGAGGAAUUCAGUCAAGGCCUUUCAUGAUUUGGCUCUUCCUCCUGCCCUCUUCAAGCCCACACAUCCUUUCGUUCUCUUCUCACCCGUCUCUCCUAGGCAGCCCCCCUUCUUAGUUUCAUCAGUGUUGAGCAUGUGUAGAUUCCCGACGAGGCUGAGUUCUUCUACAUCUGGUCCCUUUGCCCAGAAUUCCAGCAGCACCCCCACCAAACACACUUACCCAUUUCAAAUUUUUUCCCCCUAAAUUUCAAGGCUCAACUCAAUCUCCUCUGAGAUGCUUCCUCUCUCUCAAAUGGAGUCAUAUGCCUCUCAUCUCUGCUGGCUUUGAUCUGGCACAUCAUUUUAUAAUUUUAUAUGUAGUGCAUUAUAAUUAUUUCCCUAUUCAAUAUCUGCAUUAUAAGACUGACAGCCUCUUGAGGACAGGCGCUGUGUCCAGCCAACCCUUCUCUUCCCCAGGACCCGGCACAGGGCUUGGUUAGUAGGUAUGGAGGAAACAUGAAGUUGAAUUGAACAUCCAUCCCUGUGAGGUAAAAGUUGGAUUGUCUGUCCCUCAUAUGAUGUUGCGAGUACUGCUUACUCGGUCAGUAAACCUCCAUAAGGGAAAGCCAGUUUCUCCAGCCCCAUCACUGUUGGCAUAAGAACAAGUAGCAGAAUGACAGACUAAUCCAUAUUCUCUGAUCAACCACACUGUGUGUUGCAGACGGGACAGCCUGCCCUUCUUGUUUCAUCUCACAGCUGUUGUCAUAGCUAAAUAUCAUGCAGCUGAGGAGAAAUCAUUGCAAGCAGUGGGGCGGAUGAGGCUUGAUAAUUGUAGUGAAGGAUUUAUUACGUGAACUUACAAAACUCCUGUGAAAUGUUAGCAAAUAACUAGGCCUCAGGGAGCAAUAAUUACUUUCAUUCUGCAAUUGCGGAUGAUGUAAAAGAAAAACAACAGAAACUGAAAUUUUAGAUACUAAUAUAACAUAAAUAGAAGGCAGGGCUAGAGAAAACCAGCCAAACAAUUUUCUGUCCUCAGACAUGAGGACAAUAUUUUGGACUGUGAGCCAAUGACUUUUGGCAUGCUUCCUUGCUGAAAUUCCCCAGUAGAGCGCACCACUGGAGUUUAUUGACCUUUUAAUCUAUACCUGUAAUCCAUUUCUGAAGAGGCUUUUUAAAAACACUUUGUGACCAAUUGGGUAUAAAAUGUUACCGUCUCAUUUGAAUUUACCCGGUUUUGCCACCCACCUCACUUGUUAUGUCUGUUUGUACUGAAUAUUCUAGUGGCAGAACAGAGUUCUUUUUUUAUUAAAGAUUUUUUUAUGUUUAUUUAUUUUUGAGAGAGAGAGGGACAGACAGACAGCAU